rnacentral:rRNA from 1 species
AUUGAACGCUGGCGGCAUGCCUUACACAUGCAAGUCGAACGGCAGCACGGAGCUUGCUCUGGUGGCGAGUGGCGAACGGGUGAGUAAUAUAUCGGAAUGUACCCAGGAGUGGGGGAUAACGUAGCGAAAGUUACGCUAAUACCGCAUACGUCCUAAGGGAGAAAGCGGGGGGUCGUAAGACCUCGUGCUCAUGGAGCGGCCGAUAUCUGAUUAGCUAGUUGGUGGGGUAAAGGCCUACCAAGGCAACGAUCAGUAGCUGGUCUGAGAGGACGACCAGCCACACUGGAACUGAGACACGGUCCAGACUCCUACGGGAGGCAGCAGUGGGGAAUUUUGGACAAUGGGGGCAACCCUGAUCCAGCAAUGCCGCGUGAGUGAAGAAGGCCUUCGGGUUGUAAAGCUCUUUUGUCAGGGAAGAAAAGGGAGUGGCUAAUAUCCACUCCUGCUGACGGUACCUGAAGAAUAAGCACCGGCUAACUACGUGCCAGCAGCCGCCGUAA